rnacentral:sRNA from 1 species
UGAAAGCGAGACCCCUGCUCUCAUGAGCAA